rnacentral:rRNA from 1 species
AACGCUAGCGGCGCGCUUAACACAUGCAAGUCGAGCGAGAACCGGGGCUUCGGCCCCGGGGACAGCGGCGAGCGGGUGAGUAACACGUGGGUAAUCUGCCCUCGGUUCCGGGAUAGCCCGGGGAAACUCGGAUUAAUACCGGAUAGCCUCACGAGCCUUCGGGCGCGUGAGAAAAGGUAGCUUCGGCCUCUGACCGAGGAUGAGCCCGCGGCGGUUUAGCUUGUUGGCGGGGUAACGGCCCACCAAGGCGACGAUCCGUAGCUGGUCUGGGGGGACGAUCCGCCCGACUGGGACUGAGACACGGCCCAGACUCCUACGGGAGGCAGCAGUGGGGAAGCUUGCGCAAUGGGCGAAAGCCUGACGCAGCGACGCCGCGUGAGGGAAGAAGGCCCUAGGGUUGUAAACCUCUUUCAGGUGGGACGAAGCCACUCGGGUGAAUAGCCCAGAGGGUGACGGUACCUCCAGAAGAAGCCCCGGCUAACUACGUGCCAGCAGCCGCCGUAAGAC